AGAGUUUGAUCCUGGCUCAGAUUGAACGCUGGCGGCAGGCUUAACACAUGCAAGUCGAGCGGGGAAGGGUAGCUUGCUACCUGACCUAGCGGCGGACGGGUGAGUAAUGCUUAGGAAUCUGCCUAUUAGUGGGGGACAACAUUCCGAAAGGAAUGCUAAUACCGCAUACGCCCUACGGGGGAAAGCAGGGGAUCUUCGGACCUUGCGCUAAUAGAUGAGCCUAAGUCAGAUUAGCUAGUUGGUGGGGUAAAGGCCUACCAAGGCGACGAUCUGUAGCGGGUCUGAGAGGAUGAUCCGCCACACUGGGACUGAGACACGGCCCAGACUCCUACGGGAGGCAGCAGUGGGGAAUAUUGGACAAUGGGCGAAAGCCUGAUCCAGCCAUGCCGCGUGUGUGAAGAAGGCCUUUUGGUUGUAAAGCACUUUAAGCGAGGAGGAGGCUACCGAGAUUAAUACUCUUGGAUAGUGGACGUUACUCGCAGAAUAAGCACCGGCUAACUCUGUGCCAGCCGCCGCGGUAA
rnacentral:rRNA from 1 species